GGAGGGAAGGUGUUUGAUGACGUCAAAUCAUCAUGCCCCUUAUGACCUGGGCUACACACGUGCUACAAUGGACAGAACAAAGGGCAGCGAAACCGCGAGGUUAAGCCAAUCCCACAAAUCUGUUCUCAGUUCGGAUCGCAGUCUGCAACUCGACUGCGUGAAGCUGGAAUCGCUAGUAAUCGCGGAUCAGCAUGCCGCGGUGAAUACGUUCCCGGGCCUUGUACACACCGCCCGUCACACCACGAGAGUUUGUAACACCCGAAGUCGGUGAGGUAACCUUUUAGGAGCCAGCCGCGAAGGUGGGACAGAUG
rnacentral:rRNA from 1 species